UGGGGAAUUUUGGACAAUGGGCGAAAGCCUGAUCCAGCAAUGCCGCGUGCAGGAUGAAGGCCCUCGGGUUGUAAACUGCUUUUGUACGGAACGAAAAGCUUCUGGUUAAUACCUGGGAGUCAUGACGGUACCGUAAGAAUAAGCACCGGCUAACUACGUGCCAGCAGCCGCGGUAAUACGUAGGGUGCAAGCGUUAAUCGGAAUUACUGGGCGUAAAGCAUGCGCAGGCGGUUUUGUAAGACAGUGGUGAAAUCCCCGGGCUCAACCUGGGAACUGCCAUUGUGACUGCAAGGCUAGAGUGCGGCAGAGGGGGAUGGAAUUCCGCGUGUAGCAGUGAAAUGCGUAGAUAUGCGGAGGAACACCGAUGGCGAAGGCAAUCCCCUGGGCCUGCACUGACGCUCAUGCACGAAAGCGUGGGGAGAAAACAGG
rnacentral:rRNA from 2 species